rnacentral:rRNA from 1 species
UACAGAGGGUGCGAGCGUUGUUCGGAAUUACUGGGCGUAAAGCGCACGUAGGCGGCUUGGUAUGUCGGGUGUGAAAUCCCCGGGCUCAACCUGGGAACUGCACCCGAAACUGCCUUGCUCGAGUAUGGGAGAGGGAAGUGGAAUUUCCGGUGUAGCGGUGAAAUGCGUAGAUAUCGGAAGGAACAUCAGUGGCGAAGGCGACUUCCUGGUCCAAUACUGACGCUCAGGUGCGAAAGCGUGGGGAGCAAACAGG